UACGUAGGAUGCGAGCGUUGUCCGGAUUUAUUGGGCGUAAAGAGCGUGUAGGCGGCCAGGUAGGUCUGCUGUGAAAACUCGAGGCUCAACCUCGAGACGUCGGCGGAAACCAUCUGGCUAGAGUCCGGAAGAGGAGAGUGGAAUUCCUGGUGUAGCGGUGAAAUGCGCAGAUAUCAGGAAGAACACCCGUGGCGAAGGCGGCUCUCUGGGACGGUACUGACGCUGAGACGCGAAAGCGUGGGGAGCGAACAGG
rnacentral:rRNA from 1 species